rnacentral:lncRNA from 1 species
AAGCUUUAAUUUUAUUGUGUGGAGUAAAUAAAGUAAUAAAUCCAAUAUAAAUAUUGAAGUGAAGCCAUUGUGGGUUGUCACAUCUAGGUAGCUCAUCCAAAGAAAAUAGCUGUUGGAGGACAUUCCUAUGGUGCUUUCAUGACUGCCAACCUUCUCGCACAUGCGCCUCAUCUUUUCUGUUGUGGAAUUGCUCGUUCUGGUGCUUACAACAGAACACUCACUCCUUUUGGUUUUCAGGUACUGCGUAUAAUGGAUUCUUUUUUCUUCCAAUGACUAAUGCUAAAUAUUUUCCAUAAAUUGUCUUUUCGUUUGUCUCACAAUUUCCUUUUAAUCUUCUUCCAUGCCCAAUUCUUUUAGAAAUGCUUAUGUCCCAUACCACAUUUACCUUGUGUAGAAUGAAGUCAGAACUCUUUGGGAGGCCACUAAUACUUACGUAGAGAUGAGCCCUUUCAUGUCGGCUAAUAAAAUUAAGAAGCCUAUUUUACUUGUCCAUGGGGAAGAGGACAAUAAUUCAGGAACAUUAACCAUGCAGGUAAGGGAGAAAUUUCUACUUCAUCCAUUCUCAUUAAACUUUGAUCAGUUAUUGCAGUCAGACUAACAUUUGUCCUUGUAUGCAGUCAGAUAGGUUUUUCAACGCUUUGAAGGGUCAUGGCACUCUUUGUCGACUUGUGAUUCUGCCUCACGAGAGCCAUGGUUAUAGUGCCAGAGAAAGCAUCAUGCAUGUCCUUUGGGAAACAGAUAGAUGGCUGCAUAAAUACUGCGUGUCAAACACUUCUGAUGUUGGUGAAGAUCAUGAUACUGGCUCAGUCAAAGAAAAUGAUAACAAAGGAACUACAGAUGCUGAAAGCAAAGUCGUUGCUACUGGUGGAGGUGGCAGCAAAGAGGGUUCUGAUCUAGAGUAUGGUGGAUUCCACUCUCUGCCAAGGUCGUCCUUGUGGUAAAAUCUUUAUCCUCUAAAGUUUUUAAUCCAAAAUAAAGUACCUUUUACUGAAAGUUAAUAAUUAUUUCUUAGUAAUGAUUAAUUUGUGAACGGUAAACCCCGGUAUAGGAUUGGACAUAUUCUUAUUAUCUGAAGAUUAGAAUGCCAUCAUGCCUGUUGCUAUUUUAUUUUAAUAUACUCAAGUUUGACAUCUUAAGGCGGGCUCUCGUUAUAAGGAAUUGUUGGAAAGUAAAAGAUGCUCUUUAAUCCUGGGUCAAAGAUAAUUGCCUGAUCCGCCAGGCUUUUGUGGAGGGGGCAGGAAUUUAAGACAAAAAUAGUAAAACAUUUCAAUGAUAUUGCUGGUUAUUUUUUCCACUAUACAAGUAUUUUACGCCAAUCUUUUACUUUUGUAGAAGAACUCGUGGAUCUUUGGCUUCCAAGGACUAGAAUUGAAGCAUCCAAAUUGCAUGUGGUCAUGUAGAAGACAGAGGAGCUAAUAGCCCUUCACUGUGAGAAUGGAACAUAAUCAAAUUGACAAGGAUCAUUUACAUUGCAAGUAUGGGACUCCAUCAUAUCAUGUAGUCCUUUAUAAAAGCAUCUAUAGCAUUGCUGGUGCUAUGGCAAAUUGCCAUAAUCAUAUCUUACAUGAUUUUACAGUGAUAUUUAAUCUGUUAAUCGUGUUUUCGGAAGGGUCCUUAGCGGCUGAGCCGAAUAAUUUGACAAAGUAAUUUAAAUAUAUACUUGAAGAAUAACCAAACCACCACUUGUUCUUCUUCCUAUGCAGCUGUAUGGACAUUUUUCCUAUCUUACCUUCCUACUUGUGGAGUUCUGGUUAUUUUGAUUGUAUCUGCUCUAUGAGCAAACAUGUAUUUUAGUCUCUGAAAAAGUAUUGGCCUCAAAAGUAGAUUGAGAGAUGAAAACUCAAAAAAAUCUUAGUCCCUAAAACCAUCAAAUACUCAUCAGGGUCUACUAUGGGUAUGAGAUGUUCAAAGUAAAUAUGCAUAUUAUUCACAUACCUAUUACUUUUAGCAUCACCCAUUAUUAAUGUCAUUAUCCCUACUAAUAACUCUACAUUCUGAUUCUAUGUAAAAGGUUAUUACGCACUAAACAAAACAUACUUGACCAGGGGUUGAUACAACAAAAGUGAUCAUUGUGCAACGUUGGUCAUAAAUAAUCAAAUGAACGACAUAGAAUAAAUAGAAGACAAUAGAAUUUGUUAACGAGGUUAGGUAUCACUAUGACCUCUGAGAGACAAUGGACCACAUCACACAAUCUUAUCUAAUUCUUGUAUUGAUAUGAUGUUAUCUCUGCCCUUAAAUGAUUUGAUAUACUAUGAUCUCAUCUUAUAAAAAUUUUGUGUUUGAAAAUGACUCCAAAAUAUUAAUAAUAACCAUAAAUGACAAAAUAUUAAACUAUAUAUAUAAAUAUAAGGAUUCAAACCAUAAUAUUUGUCAUUCUGAGGAUAAUACAUUUGAAUUAUAUAAUCACCACUGAUUUACUUAUAUCAUAUAAGGUUAUCUGAAUUAUGCAGAUAAGAACAUGGGUUGUCCCUCCUGCAUCUGAAGAUGUGACUCCACGCAUCCUAUUUGAUCGAUCUUCAGAAGAUGUGUACUCUGAUCCUGGAUCUCCCAUGUUGCGCAGAACUAAAGCUGGAACAUAUGUUAUUGCCAACAUACAGAAGGAAAGUGAUGAAGGAAGAUAUAUUAUACUGAAUGGAGCUGGUGCUACACCAGAAGGGAACAUCCCAUUUCUUGAUCUGUUUGACAUGUAAGUAUCUCAAGACUUAUAACACUUUUCCCUGUAUGCUCUCAUAGAUUCUCAUUUAUGCUUUGGUGGAUUAAACCAAAAUGUUGCAGAAAUACAGGUAAGAAGGAGCGAAUCUGGGAGAGCGAGAAGGAGAAGUAUUAUGAGUCUGUUGUGGCUCUAAUGUCUGAUCAGGAAGAAGGGGAUUUGAAUUUAGAUCAGCUGAAAAUACUGAUUUCAAAAGAGUCAAAAACUGAAAACACCCAAUUUUACCUUGUCAGCUGGCCCGAAAAAAGUUUAGUUCAGAUUACCAAUUUCCCUCAUCCAUAUCCUCAGCUUGCGUCAUUGCAGAAAGAGAUGAUCAGGUAUCAAAGAAAAGAUGGGGUUCAACUGACUGCUACAUUAUACCUGCCACCGGGUUACAAUCCAUCCACUGAUGGCCCUUUGCCAUGUCUGGUAUGGUCUUACCCAGGAGAGUUUAAGAGCAAAGAUGCUGCUGGACAAGUUCGUGGUUCUCCAAAUGAAUUUCCUGGGAUAGGUCCUACAUCAGCCCUUCUUUGGCUGGCAAGAAAGUAUGAUUUGUCUUUUCUAAUUCUCCGUGUUGUUUGACUAUUUUUUAUUUAGCAUUAGUUUACUUAGUUACUAUGUUCUUCAUUCAAUAUAUUGUUUAGGUUAAAUAAGCUUGACUGUUCUUUGAUGACUUAAAAUUCCGCAGGUUUGCAAUUCUAUCUGGACCUACUAUUCCUAUUAUUGGUGAGGGUGAUGAGGAGGCAAAUGAUAGGUAAAUUCAUUGUGAUAUUGUUAUAGUUGUGGGAUUCUUACCAUAUACUUGUGACGAAAUAAUUGUUCUCAAUCGCCAUGAGUUCUUUACUCAUCUUCAUUCUCAUUCUAUUCAAAUUAGAGUUUCAAAUAUUUUGACUCAUUUGAGGGGCUUUGGUUUCUUUUGUUGAUUUCUUCUUCAGUUUGUUCAAUUUUUGUGUGAAGUAAUCAUACCACAUAAUUAAUAAAGGUUUUAAUUUUUCUGAUUAUUAACCAAAUUUCUACUAACCAGUUAUGUAGAGCAAUUAGUUGCAAGUGCAGAGGCUGCGGUGAAGGAAGUUAUUCGGCGUGGGGUAAGCUUUAAUUUUAUUGUGUGGAGUAAAUAAAGUAAUAAAUCCAAUAUAAAUAUUGAAGUGAAGCCAUUGUGGGUUGUCACAUCUAGGUAGCUCAUCCAAAGAAAAUAGCUGUUGGAGGACAUUCCUAUGGUGCUUUCAUGACUGCCAACCUUCUCGCACAUGCGCCUCAUCUUUUCUGUUGUGGAAUUGCUCGUUCUGGUGCUUACAACAGAACACUCACUCCUUUUGGUUUUCAGGUACUGCGUAUAAUGGAUUCUUUUUUCUUCCAAUGACUAAUGCUAAAUAUUUUCCAUAAAUUGUCUUUUCGUUUGUCUCACAAUUUCCUUUUAAUCUUCUUCCAUGCCCA